UUAAGUUGGGAAUAGCCUGCCGAAAGGCGGAGUAAUUCCGAAUGUGGUCAUCCCGGACAUCCGGGGUUGUCUAAAGUCGGGGACCGUAAGGCCUGACGCUUAAGGAUGAGCCCAUGUCCCAUCAGCUUGUUGGUAGGGCAACGGCCUACCAAGGCAUACGGGUAGCUGGUCUGAGAGGAUGGUCAGCCACACUGGGACUGAGACACUGCCCAGACUCCUACGGGAGGCUGCAGUCGAGGAUCUUGGACAAUGUGCGAAAGCAUGAUCCAGCGACGCCGCGUGCAGGAUGAAGGUCUUCGGAUUGUAAACUGCUGUCGUGCGGGAACAAUGGGCGGUAUAUUAAUACUAUAUCGCAGUGAUAGUACCGCAGGAGGAAGACACGGCUAACUCUGUGCCAGCAGCCGCGGUAAUACAGAGGUGUCAAGCGUUGUUCGGAUUUACUGGGCGUAAAGGGUGCGUAGGCGGUUUGGUGUGUCGGAUGUGAAAUCUCUCAGCUUAACUGAGAAAUGGCAUUCGAAACUACUUUACUAGAGUACUGGAGGGGAAGGUGGAAUUCUCGGUGUAGCGGUGAAAUGCGUAGAUAUCGAGAGGAACGCCGGUGGUGAAGACGACCUUCUGGACAGAUACUGACGCUGAGGCACGAAAGCUGGGGGAGCCAACAGGAUUAGAUACCCUGGUAGUCCCAGCCCUAAACGGUGUACACUUGGUGUGGGAGGAGUUAUCCCCUUCCGUGCCGGAGCUAACGCGUUAAGUGUACCGCCUGGGGAGUACGGCCGCAAGGUUAAAACUCAAAGGAAUUGACGGGGGCCCGCACAAGCGGUGGAGCAUGUGGCUUAAUUCGAUGCAACGCGAAGAACCUUACCAGGGCUUGACAUGUCGGGAUUAUUUCCAUGAAAGUGGAGAAAUUGCCGCAAGGUGUAACCGACACAGGUGCUGCAUGGUUGUCGUCAGCUCGUGCCGUGAGGUGUUGGUUUAAGUCCCGCAACGAGCGCAACCCCUAUGUUUUGUUGCCACGUCGUAAGACAGCACUCUAAACAGACUGCCUGUGAUAAGCAGGAGGAAGGUGGGGAUGACGUCAAAUCAGUAUGGCCUUUAUGCCCUGGGCUGCACACGUGCUACAAUGAUCGGCACAGAAGGAUGCAAGACCGCGAGGUGGAGCAAAUCCCUAAAUCCGAUCUCAGUUCAGAUUGGAGUCUGAAACUCGACUCCAUGAAGCUGGAAUCGCUAGUAAUGGCGCAUCAGCUACGGCGCCGUGAAUACGUUCCCGGGCCUUGUACACACCGCCCGUCACAUCAUGGGAGCCGUCUGCACCCGAAGUAGCCCCUUAAAAGGUUCCUAAGGUGUGGGUGGUGACUGGGAUGAAGUCGAAACAAGGUA
rnacentral:rRNA from 1 species